rnacentral:lncRNA from 1 species
UGUCUUCAUUUGUUCAUCUUGUUCAUGUUUCUCCAAGUGCUCCUCUGCUUCCUGAUACUAAUUUUAUUCAGGGUCUUAUGGCUGCAGAGCCAUUGCAUAAGAAGUUACUGCUCUGUCCUCUCUUGUGGAUUUUGGGUUUUGAUGCUGGAUGCAGGCUCCCUGUCCUGUGAGCCUCUGUGCUGCUGUGUUUGCCCAGCCUGGGCUCGUUUUAGGUCCUGAUCCAGGGCCUUCCCAAGAUGAAGAGGAGAUGAGUUUAGCACCUGCUGAGGCUCGGGAUUCCCUUGGCUCCUGCAGCGGGAUCCCCUCAGGAGCACUCCAGGCAAUGAUCCUCCCCUGCAGAACAGAUCCCCAGGUGUGCCAGGAGAGAAGGGAAAGUGGCAGAGGCUGGCUCUGUCCCACCUGCUGCCCUGCUGCUCCUUGCACAGCCACUCCAGCCUGGGGAAAUGAGGUGCUACAGGGGGUCUUGUAUAAAGUUGUUGCAGAGCUGUCUGCAAGGUGGGGUAAAGCUCAGGGCUGCAGAGGCAGUCAGAUUGGUCCCCCUGCAGUCCAAGAUCGAUGCUGGGGCUUGGCAGCCGGUUUCAGUCCUCCCAGGGAUUUCUUCCUUUUCUUUCUGUUCCCCAUUUUAGCAGGACAGGGUGUGUCUUGCUGUCCCCAGCUGGAUAAUGCACUUACCUUGACCCCUGUGCAUCUCUUCAGCAGAGACCUCAGGCCAGGGAGAGCUCCGAGAUGUGACCCAGGGACAAUUGUGAAUUCUCUGGGAGAGAAAUCCCCGUGUUAA